AACGAACGCUGGCGGCAUGCCUAACACAUGCAAGUCGAACGAAGGCUUCGGCCUUAGUGGCGCACGGGUGCGUAACGCGUGGGAAUCUGCCCUUGGGUCUGGGAUAACGGCGGGAAACUGCCGCUAAUACCGGAUGAUAUCGCGAGAUCAAAGAUUUAUCGCCUGAGGAUGAGCCCGCGUAGGAUUAGGUAGUUGGUGUGGUAAAGGCGCACCAAGCCGACGAUCCUUAGCUGGUCUGAGAGGAUGAUCAGCCACACUGGGACUGAGACACGGCCCAGACUCCUACGGGAGGCAGCAGUGGGGAAUAUUGGACAAUGGGCGCAAGCCUGAUCCAGCAAUGCCGCGUGAGUGAUGAAGGCCCUUAGGGUUGUAAAAGCUCUUUUACCCGGGAAA
rnacentral:rRNA from 1 species